GAUGAACGCUGGCGGCGUGCUUAACACAUGCAAGUCGAACGGAAAGGCCCAAGCUUGCUUGGGUACUCGAGUGGCGAACGGGUGAGUAACACGUGGGUGAUCUGCCCUGCACUUCGGGAUAAGCCUGGGAAACUGGGUCUAAUACCGGAUAGGACCACAUUUUGGAUGGUGUGGUGGAAAGUUUUUCGGUGUGGGAUGAGCUCGCGGCCUAUCAGCUUGUUGGUGGGGUAAUGGCCUACCAAGGCGUCGACGGGUAGCCGGCCUGAGAGGGUGUACGGCCACAUUGGGACUGAGAUACGGCCCAGACUCCUACGGGAGGCAGCAGUGGGGAAUAUUGCACAAUGGGCGCAAGCCUGAUGCAGCGCCGCCGCGUGGGGGAUGACGGCCUUCGGGUUGUAAACUCCUUUCGCUAGGGACGAAGCGUUAUGUGACGGUACCUGGAGAAGAAGCACCGGCUAACUACGUG
rnacentral:rRNA from 1 species